UACGGGGGGGGCAAGCGUUGUUCGGAAUUACUGGGCGUAAAGGGCUCGUAGGCGGCCAACUAAGUCAGACGUGAAAUCCCUCGGCUUAACCGGGGAACUGCAUCUGAUACUGGAUGGCUUGAGAUUGGGAGAGGGAUGCGGAAUUCCAGGUGUAGCGGUGAAAUGCGUAGAUAUCUGGAGGAACACCGGUGGCGAAGGCGGCAUCCUGGACCAACACUGACGCUGAGGAGCGAAAAGCCAGGGGGAGCAAACGGGG
rnacentral:rRNA from 1 species